CACUUUUGUUUGCAAUUCUUGAAUCAUCUCAGUUUAAAUUAAGUCUAUUAAAAUCGUAUGUUUUUAUCCAUUAGUUUUUCAAUCAUAUAUGCCUAAAUGUCCACAGUACUCUGCAGGGUGGCUUCCUUUUAUUAAUUUGCCUCUUUAAUAUUUGUAGGUUAAUUAUUUUCAGACACUGUGCUAUUUUCUGUUAUUGUCUUGAAAACCAUUUAUUGUCUAUAUGCAGGGUGCUGAGGGAGGCUUAUGUGAUUGACAUAAAAAGUGGGAUUGAAGAUCAUGAGAUCAUAGUGGGGUUUAACAAACAAUAUUGCUCUGUGUUGUUGCCCAAUAAGUCACCAAUAAAAGGAGCAGUGUCAGAAGAAAUGAUUCUCAUGCCAGCUGUUUACCAGAGUUCCAGGAAUGUACUGUAACACACAGAUGGCGCAACUUGGUGGAGGACAAGUUGUUGACCCAGGGGCUCCUUUGUGUCAUAGAUCUCCAAGAAACACAGCCAGCGUUGGAUUCAGGAAUUCAGGCUACAGCUCCCACAGCCAGCACCCCAGGAAGGCUGAUCACCUGCCAGAUUCUGGACAAAGACUGGUAUGGAUGGGCUCAAUUAAUUUUGGUGGAUAA
rnacentral:lncRNA from 1 species